ACAACCAUUGACGGUGGAUCACUCGGUUCGGAGAUCGAUGAAGAACGUGGCAAAAUGCGAUAAUUGAUGCGAUUCGCAAGCCUUGUGAGUCAUUGAGUUUUUGAAUGCACAUUGCGCGCUGAGUAAACUCAGUGCAUGUCUGGUUGAGGGUUGUAUUGUCCAAACGCGCC
rnacentral:rRNA from 1 species